rnacentral:rRNA from 1 species
GACGAACGCUGGCGGCGUGCCUAAUACAUGCAAGUAGAACGCUGAAGGAGGAGCUUGCUUCUCUGGAUGAGUUGCGAACGGGUGAGUAACGCGUAGGUAACCUGCCUGGUAGCGGGGGAUAACUAUUGGAAACGAUAGCUAAUACCGCAUAAGAGUAGAUGUUGCAUGACAUUUGCUUAAAAGGUGCAAUUGCAUCACUACCAGAUGGACCUGCGUUGUAUUAGCUAGUUGGUGGGGUAACGGCUUACCAAGGCGACGAUACAUAGCCGACCUGAGAGGGGGAUCGGCCACACUGGGACUGGGACACGGCCCAGACUCCUACGGGAGGCAGCAGGAGGGAAUCUUCGGCAAUGGACGGAAGGCUGACCGAGCAACGCCGCGGGAGUGAAGAAGGGUUUCGGAUCGGAAAGCUCUGUUGUAAGGGAAGAACGAGUGUGAGAGUGGAAAGUUCACACUGUGACGGUAUCUUACCAGAAAGGGACGGCUAACUACGUG